AGCACUCGUUGUACUCGGGGGGUCACUGACUCUACCAACUACAAAGAAACUCCGAAUACAGACGUAAUGACUUCAGCAGUCAGACUUUGGGCGCUAAGGUCCAAGGUCAAAAGGGAAACAGCCCUGAUCGAACGCUAAGGUCUUUAAAUAGUUUUCUCAGUGAGGAAGGAAGUUAAGUGAUUAAGACAACCAGGAGGUAGGCUUGGAAGCAGCCAUCCUUUAAAGAAAGCGUAACAGCUCACUGGUCUAGUCACAUAGCGCCGACGAUGUAUAGAGACUCAAGAAACUUACCGAAGCGACGACUACAAAAUAAUUUUUGUGGGGGAAAUUAUUUUUGUGGGGUAGCGGAACGUUCUGUA
rnacentral:rRNA from 14 species